rnacentral:rRNA from 1 species
AAAAAGCACCGGCUAACUACGUGCCAGCAGCCGCGGUAAUACGUAGGGUGCAAGCGUUGUCCGGAAUUAUUGGGCGUAAAGAGCUCGUAGGCGGUUUGUCGCGUCUGCUGUGAAAACUGGAGGCUCAACCUCCAGCCUGCAGUGGGUACGGGCAGACUAGAGUGCGGUAGGGGAGAUUGGAAUUCCUGGUGUAGCGGUGGAAUGCGCAGAUAUCAGGAGGAACACCGAUGGCGAAGGCAGAUCUCUGGGCCGUAACUGACGCUGAGGAGCGAAAGCAUGGGGAGCGAACAGGAUUAGAUACCCUGGUAGUCCAUGCCGUAAACGUUGGGAACUAGAUGUGGGGGCCAUUCCACGGUCUCCGUGUCGCAGCUAACGCAUUAAGUUCCCCGCCUGGGGAGUACGGCCGCAAGGCUAAAACUCAAAGGAAUUGACGGGGGCCCGCACAAGCGGCGGAGCAUGCGGAUUAAUUCGAUGCAACGCGAAGAACCUUACCAAGGCUUGACAUAUACGAGAACGGGCCAGAAAUGGUCAACUCUUUGGACACUCGUAAACAGGUGGUGCAUGGUUGUCGUCAGCUCGUGUCGUGAGAUGUUGGGUUAAGUCCCGCAACGAGCGCAACCCUCGUUCUAUGUUGCCAGCACGUUAUGGUGGGAACUCAUAGGAGACUGCCGGGGUCAACUCGGAGGAAGGUGGGGAUGACGUCAAAUCAUCAUGCCCCUUAUGUCUUGGGCUUCACGCAUGCUACAAUGGCCGGUACAAAGGGCUGCAAUACCGUAAGGUGGAGCGAAUCCCAAAAAGCCGGUCUCAGUUCGGAUUGAGGUCUGCAACUCGACCUCAUGAAGUCGGA